rnacentral:misc_RNA from 1 species
GUUGAGGGUCGUUAUAAAAGUCGUUAUAGCACCAUGAAGAAACUCUUGAGAGAUGGUCGGAAGCUUGAAGAGGUGAAUGACAUCUUAGGUCUACGAGUUGUAUUGACUCCUAUAUCAGGAGUAGAUGAGUCGGAAAUCGGGGAAAAGGCUUGCUACAGAGCACGUGAAGUUGUCCAAUCUUUGUGGGAAGAGAUACCAAGUAGGUCAAAGGACUAUAUCUUAAGGCCUAAGGCUAAUGGAUAUAGAAGUUUGCACAUGGCUGUUGAUACCAGUGAAAAUGGACGGACUAGACCGCUAAUGGAAAUUCAAAUACGAACAGAAGAAAUGGAUAUGCUAGCAUCUGGAGGGCCAGC